AGGGUGAAUGUCGGCUGCGGGCCAGCGGAGGAGCGGGUUCUCCUCACAGGUUUACAUGCUGUGGCGGAUAUCUACUGUGAAAACUGUAAAACCACGCUGGGAUGGAAAUAUGAGCACGCGUUCGAGAGCAGUCAAAAAUACAAAGAGGGAAAGUUCAUCAUCGAGCUGGCUCACAUGAUCAAGGACAACGGAUGGGAGUGACGCUGCGGCCGCGCUCUUGUUUUCUUUCUCUGACCUUGGAAUGCUCUUUAUUGAACUGCGUGGAGCGUCGACCAUCCACCCUCCCUCCCUCCCUUUCCCCACCUCUUUGAAAAUCAACCCCCACCUCCACGAACCUCCACCUCCACCUCCACGUUGCACACACUCCCACCUGCUCAUCGUGAAACUGAACAGAACAAAUGGAAUAAAAAGGAGGAGGAGGAGAAGGAGGAAGAGGAGCUGUUGAGAAAUCACGUCACGAGGAGUCCUGUCGUUACUUCACAGAUUGUUCGGUUUCCUUCGCAGCUCUGGAGCUUUGGGUUCGACCUCCACCGACUCCCUCGCCCCGCCGCCCCCCCACCACCGCCACCAAAAACCACGCUUUCAAGUGAUUGUGGUGAUAUGGCGACCACUCUGCAGAAGGAGACAGACUUCACUGAGACAACAUGUCUUUGUUUUCUUUCUUUCGCCCAUCCAGCGAGACGAAUGACUUUGAUGACUUUAAUUAUUUUAAUGUUAUUUGCUUUAGUUUUAACCUCUGGGUUUGGUAAGGGUUUGGUUUGAUGGAAGAUGGAUGUUACUGGUUAGCAUUUGAUUUCCCCGUUCAGUGCGUCAUGUUUUGUUUGUUUGUUUGUUUGUUUGGCUUGUUUAUCUCUGCCCAUAGCUGAGCAUGUUUUUCUUUGCUAAUGUCCAAAAUGAGAAAUCAGGGACAGGUGAGGAGCGGAGGGGGAAAGGGAGUUUAUUCUAGUUACAGAUAUGUAGCAUUAUUUGUUUUUUAAAAGGUAAAGGAUGGGAUUGCAGUAGUGCAGGAUUUUAAUCCUGAUUCUUUUUUUUUUUUAUCCUUUUCUUUCAUGUUGUUUUCCCCUCUCUGGUACCUUUCAGCACCCAAAAAGCAUUGAAAGCAGCAACUAGUUUGUUCGACAUAAAUGGAUAUAUAUAAAUAUAUAAACAUAUAAAUAUAUAGAUAUAUAAAUAUUUGUAGUGUUUUGGCUAAAUGCGAUUGUGGCUGGUCCCAUUUUGCAGCAGUACCACGAGUGACAGAAGGAGAAAGAGAAGGAGGUUACUUUUGCAUCAUUGUUUUGCUCGACUUGAUGCGUCAGAGAAGAGAAAGUUUUGUUUGGAAAUGCAGAAGAUUUAGUUUGGAGUGUUGUUGUUUGUCGUUGAGCUCGAUCUCGUGGGCGGGACCUGCGCUGAAAGACGUGAGAGACAUCUCUGAUGGCCGAUCUGGAGUGAAGCGGAGCAACGACCUCCAAAAACAUUUGCAGUGUUUUUAAUUAAAAAGCAAAAUCUGCAUUUCCUGACAAAAACAAAAAAAACUUUUUUUUUUUAAUCUCAAAUAUUAAACGUUUUGAAUUAGAAUGAAAAACCUUCAAAUUUGCAAAAACAACUUUUGAAAAAGUCCACACAUUUUAGAGUUUGCAAUCAAAAUUUUGGGACUUCAAUUCAAACCUUCAGAAUGAAAAGUCUUCUGGAUUUAAAACAAAGAUAUUUCACUUUUAUUGUCACUAUUUCUUGCUCCUUUUUUUAAAGAGUGCAGAACAAAGACGCAACAGUAACCUCCUUGAAUAUUGUCUCGUCUGAGGAACCUGAACUCAGCGUCCACAUGUCAUUAACAUUGGGGCAGACUGCAUUAUUUCACACUCUGGUAAUGAGACACAACUACAUAUGAAUAUAUCCACACAUGGUAUGAUAACAUAUCCAUAAAUACUAUGAAGAUGUUCGUAGUAUGUAGAUUUUGGAACAUGGAUUCUCUCUCUCUCUCUAUAUAUAUAUAUAUAUUUGCUGUCAUGCACAUAUGUAUAUAUGCAUAUGACUGUGUGUAUAUAUGCAUUGUGUGUGUGUGGUCAUGCAUUACACAGUGGCAUACUUGAACGAUGCUACUUCGCUUGCACUUUGCAGAGGCCUUCGGUUCACGUCGGUUUAGAGGCAACGCGUUUUUAAUGGCCUUCUUCUCGCGGAUGAACGAUGGAUGUAGGAGACAGAAGGAAAGUUCCAGCUGGACGGUUUUUGAAGAGGUUGAUACUCUGGUUCCUUCACCAGCUGUUUUUUUUUUAGCUUUUUUUUUAACAUGCUUUUAGAUGAUUUGAUUUACACCCUGCUGUCCCCGCUCUGUUUUUGCACAAAGCUGCAACAGUUUGUCACUUUUUUAAGCAAAUGUAUCAAAAAAAUGUGCUUUAAAUUUGAAGAGGACCCUUAGGAGAUCCUGGAAAUUUGAUCUCUAUUUUAAACUUUUCUGAAACUUUCUAAAUGAUGAUGAAAAAUAAUCAGAAAAUCAUCAGAAAGCAACAAAAAAGCAAAUGUUAAAAGACAAUUUUUCCCCCUUUUUUUAAAAGAACAAUGUAGAGUCAGAUUUUUUGCUGCUAUCCUAGAACUCCUCCUGCUUUGUAGACCUUUUGCACUUUAUGUCCCCCCCCUCUCUCUCUCUCUCUCUCUCUCUCUCUCUCUCUCUCUCUCUCUCUCUCUCUCUCUGAGCGUUUUGUCGAUUGCCUCUAACCCGUCUGAAUCUUGUGCCUCUCCAAAACAUGAACGGCCUCCCUUCUUUCUUCAUUUUUCUGUUGUGCAGUGCAUAACUUUGAAAAAGAAAAAUCCCUCAUGUGAACCGAUGUGUCUUCCCCCCCCUCCUCCCCUCAUUCUGGUUCGAAGUGGCCCUUGAAAAAUCACUUUAUUCACCAAAACCCUCAUAGAGCUCAUCCCUGUUUCUUUUCAACAACAGAGGCGUGGUCUACGUACACACAUAUAUUUUCUAAGUUAAGAUUUAGAGGUGCAAAACACAGAUGGAUAUUAAGUAUAUUAUUUCUUAGAGUAAAGUGUAGAGAGAGUCGGCCCCGGGCUUUGUUGUUUGACUUCUUACUGUAAGGAUAAAACAGACGCAGCAGGUGGAGGCGGGACAAGAGAGAGAUUUUAAAAAAUCAGCAGUGAUUGAUUACUUUGCCGGCGAGGUCAGUCAGAUCACAAGACCUUUUAUCUUUAAGACAACGACAAUGCAAACCCUUACUAGUUAGCAAUGAAACCUACUUGAAAAUAUAGACAUAAACAGCUGAGAUAAAGGCCCGUGUUACAGUUUUUGUACAUAAAGUAACAUAUUUAAGGUUUUAUACGUAUUUCUACUGGGUUAGUUGUUUUACUUCCCCAACUUGAAGCACUUUUGUUCACUGUACCUCUGGCUGUGUGUGUCUGAAUGUGUGCGAGGUGUGCAGCGUGCAUGCAUGUGUACUAGCCCACAUGCAUGCCUGCACACGAAAGUGAAUGUUUAGUUUCCUGUCCUCCGUUUGAUCUUCUUGUUUUCCCUCUUUCUUUGGUUUGGAAGUGUUUUAUUUGUCCUGUGUUGGUUCCACUGUCCCUCUCUCUCUCUUGGAGGUCGACAGUCAGGUUAGUUUGUUUGGAGGUGAUUUAUCCCUGUUAGUUUCUUUUUUUUUUCUCUGUUAGCUUGUUGAUUUAGCUUGUGUGGUGAGAGCCCCGCUAGAGGGCCGGUGUUUAGGUCUCUGCUGAGCCGUGUAGACGUCGAGGGCGAGCUGGAAUCUCCCACCAUGUCGCAGGGAGAGCCUUUACCAAGACCCUUUCGCCACCACAGUCAGUGUCUCCUGUAUAGAGGGCUUUCAGGUGAUCAAACGCACACUAUGGCGGCCAUAUUGGAGGUCCUUAGCGUUUAGCAACACUGGCUGUGAAUAUCUGAUUGUAUUUCAUAUUCAUUUUGUGCUGUAUGAACUGUUACAUCUCUGAUUCAUUGUUCUGCUUAUGUCCCUGCACUGCUGUUCUGGGACUGCAUCCAGGUCCAACGAGACCUGUCCUGAUCCAAACACUCCUUAAGAUGCAGCCUUUUGUUGCAAGGACUCAGUUUCCCACAAUCCAUUGCACACUCCUUGUCUAAGAAGAAACUUAACAGAAGAUAGAAGUGUUGUUUUCUUUGACACUGGUGGUGAUAUUACUGCAGGAUGAUCAGAGGUGACACGUGCAUUUUCCUCUUAAAUGGUGCAUUCAAGUGCAUUUUGCCAAUUUGCAAAUUAGGUAAAUAUGAUUCAAUCAGCUACAUGUCACACAACUUCCCUGAGGUGAAUACUCAGUAUUUACCGCUCUGUCAGCCAAUUCCUGGAACAAAGCUUAAGCACUCCUGGGACUGAGAGUUCAACCAACAGAAAAAUGUACUCCAGAGUCCCUGUGGUAGCUUUUUGGUGUGUUUGAUCCCAUUACAUGAUCCUCUAAAGCCUCCCAGUGAUAGAGCUGUAGAUGAUUCCCAGCACUCGUCUGUGCUGGCUUUUAAUAGAAAUGUGAACAACUCUGCUCAGAUUUAAGAUUUGAUGCAAGAGUAACUGGACUUUAAAGCCCUCAAGCAUCUGGAUGCACCAUUGAGAGGACGUACCUGAUGAGUCCGGCCUUUAGCUCCUCCGUAGGCUGCAGUUUUAACUCGGUCAGCCAGCCUUCAGCGACUGUAAGGUGGACAUGUGUGGCUAAAAAAAUGUCCAAAGCCUUUAGUUUCACUUUUUUAAAAAUGGCACUGGAAGCUAAAGUGGAAUCACACAAACACUUCAGACACCUGUUUUAUCUGCUUGUAUCGUUACUGUAUGGACACACAGCAGUCACAUUUUUUUUAACUUCUCCACGCACACAGCCAGUUUCUCCAAAAGGACCUCCAAAAUGGCGUCUGCAGUGCUCGCUGGGAGAUUUGUGACCCCAACUUGCGGAGCCUCUUUACCCUCCCUUUCGAUCAGUCAGUCUAAGUUUAACCAACAAAAAGCAGGUGCCAGUGUCACCGCCGGUGUGUACCAAAUAAGAAGCAGGUUCUAUUGAAUGCAUCAGUGUCAGAGUUCAGAGAGGAAACCAGGGAUCAUGUUGGAGCGUCUCCUGGAGAUCAAACUGCGAUACCAAAACUAAAGAGGAGAAAUCCUGCCGCUGAUGACUCUGUCUUUCUGGAGAAUGUUUUGAUUCUCUGAACUCAACAGCGUCAAAGCAGCCUGGACGACAAAUGUAGAUAUUUGCUGCUGAAAACUGUUUACUUUUUCUUGUUAUUUUGUUUUAUCGUGACACUGGCUACCGCCUUUUUGAGCUCUGUUACUGUCUCAGGCGGUCCUGAGAGGAUGUGGAUCAAAGGCAGGAUGGGUAUACAGGGGAAAAGACUGUACAAGUUCUUUUCUUAGGACUGUUAAACUACAGUUUAAGGUCUAAAGCAUGUUGUAUUUAUAAUGGCUAUAUGUCGUGCCUGUUUUAUUAUUAUUUUUUCCUAAAUUUAAAAAAUAUAUGGUUUUUAUUUGACUACAUUGCUUUGCAUUCUGUCUUAGUAAAGCCAUGUCACAUGUCUGUUUUCACUCUAAUGUAAACUAUCAGAUAUCACAAUAAAUUUUCAAUGGCAUUAAAUUGUG